rnacentral:lncRNA from 1 species
AGAAACAUAUUCGACGAGGAACCCUCCGAUAUCUAAGUUAGACCAGAUUUUAAGGAAUAGUGGAGAUUUGAGAGAGCAUUAACUGGAGUAAGCAAGAGCAGCAUAGCGUGUGCAUACCUAGAGGUCCCCAGGGUUUUAUAUAUAGGGAUAAAGACGUAGGAUGGCUAUCCGAAAUGGUCGGGCACAUCAUAAUUGUCGAACGUGCAGUAACUACAUGGUCGUGUAAUAAUUGCCAAAUGCUGUGAGACGAGUUGCAAUUGUCCCACAAUAUGCCUUAUAAAUAUACGAAGUUAUAACCAUCCUAUUAAGAUAUUUUAACCGUUUCAAAUAUGCUUUAAAUUGAAGACACGUAGCUUACUGCUGCU